ACUGCGUAGCCGUUUCCAGUCAGUCGAGCUGAGGGAAGCCAAAGAGUUGGAGACUCCGUUUUUCUCUGCUCCACCUGCGAGCUAGAAACUUUGGAAAGAAAAUAUUUCUAAGUGUUUAGGACGUGUAAGUUCCUUUCUGUUACCGAGCGACCAGCUCCGUGACCUGAUGUAUGUUUUGAUGACCAGAAGCUUCGUUUCGUCGAGUUUUUCUUUUGUUGAAUUGUCUCGGUCAAGUUUUUGGGUUGGAUCCGAAUUCCGCGGAAGAUCUGAUGUCUUCAUUUGAUGGCGAGCCACCCGUUCGAGUGAUUCCUGUUGUCAUUCCCUAUGGCAAAAUCUGGUAGGAUUGUGGCCGGCACGUGUCACAUCAUCUGACUAUGACUGACUUGACUUAUUGACUGUUACGCUUAACAAACUGAACUAAGGAUUAACGCCUUGAACUGAACCUACCUGGAAAGAACUCUUUUUCUUUUUUGAAGAACAACUUAAAGGACACAACUUAAAGGAACUCCAUUGAACUGUUUUCUACAUUUAGUUAAAGGACUACUACCCAGCUUUUUCAAAGGACAAUUAUUUUAUUUUAUUCCUAAAGGGUUAAAUUUUAUUUUGGGUUAUUGUAAAUACUUUUCAAUUCUACUACUAAAAGAAAAGAAAAAAUGUA